GACGGAGGGUGCUAGCGUUGUUCGGAAUUACUGGGCGUAAAGGGCGCGUAGGCGGCCUGAUCAGUCGGGUGUGAAAGCCCGGGGCUCAACCCCGGAACGGCACCCGAGACGGUCAGGCUGGAGACCGGGAGAGGAGGGUGGAAUAGCCAGUGUAGAGGUGAAAUUCGUAGAUAUUGGCUGGAACACCGGUGGCGAAAGCGGCUCUCUGGCCCGGUUCUGACGCUGAGGCGCGAAAGCGUGGGGAGCGAACAGG
rnacentral:rRNA from 1 species